GAGUCCUUAUCGUCACCGCCAGUGCAACUACCCCUCUUCAUUCGUAACUUCCCCUCCGAACGCUUCUUUAUAUCUCCUCUUUCCCUCCGAAUCCCGUCGAGAUUUAUCUCACCAAUUUGCUUCUUUGUUUCUCUUCUUGCAAAUAGACAAUCAAACAAUCAUGAUGGGUCUGGAGGCGUUCUUAGGGUUUGCCUCAAUCAGGGCGAGAAAAGAGAGGGAGAGCCUCGCCCGCUCCGACGCCGCCGCCUCAGACUGCCGCACCGCCAUACCCUCCUCCCUUCCCUCCGACGUAGAUCCCCUCCUCUUUCCCACUCCUCGCGGCGGUGACUCCCCCCCGCCGUCGUCCUCCUCCGUCCUCGAGCCGCCUUCCUACGCAGACGUUGUCUUCAGCCCCUUUGAAUCCAGCAAUGGCGCGUCCGAUCAGGGGCCCUUCCUUCGCCUCGAUGCCUCCCCCAGAUCUGCCCGCGCCGUCGCCUCCGAUUACCGCUGUAUCGCCGUAUCCGACCCGCAGACAGAGGUGGAGGCCUCGAACUCGCUCGUCCCACGCGGGACGACCUACGUCACCUACCUCAUUACCACCCGCGUCCGUCCGGGCUCCGAUGACGCCGGCCCCGAGUUCAGCGUCCGGCGGCGGUUCCGCGACGUUGUGACGCUCGCUGACCGGCUUUCUGAGGCAUACCGCGGCUUCUUCAUCCCGCCGCGGCCUGAUAAGAACCUGGUCGAUAGCCAGAUAAUGCAGAAGCACGAGUUUGUGGAGCACCGACGGUUGGCGCUCGAGAAGUACCUGCGGAGGCUCGCGGAGCACCCGGUUAUUGGGAAAAGUGAUGAGCUUAGGGUGUUCCUGCAGGAAAAGGGGAAGCUGCCGCUGCCAACGACGACCGACGUGGCUUCGAGGAUGAUGGAUGGGGCGGUACGGCUGCCGAAGCAGCUGUUCGGGGAGUGGGCGGCCGCACAAGUCGCGCCACAGGACAUCGUCCAGCCUGCGAAGGGCGGCAGGGAUUUGCUGAGGAUAUUUAAGGAAUUGAAGCAGGCCGUGGUCAAUGACUGGAGUGGAGUGAAGCCAUCGGUCGUGGAGGACAAGGAGUUUUUGGAGAGGAAGGAGAAGAUGCAGGACCUCGAAUGGCAGCUGACCCCCGCAUCACAGCAGCAGGCUGAAGCUCUUAUUAGAUCACAACAAGAUGUCAGUGAAAUAAUGGGAGGGUUGGGUUUGACCUUCAUCAAACUGAUAAAGUUUGAGACUGAGGAGAGUGUAUACCGCUCGCAGAGGAUACGAGUUGCUGAUACCAAAAAUGUCGCAACUGCUGCAGUAAAAGCAAGCAGAUUAUAUCAAGAAUUGAAUGCUCAAACUGUCAAACAUCUGGACACACUGCAUGAGUAUCUAGGACUAACGGUAGCUGCUCGCAGUGCAUUCUCAGACAGAACUAGCACUCUGUUGACUGUGCAAACACUAAUGUCGGAUUUAACAACCUUGAAUACAAGGGUUGAGAAACUUGAAGCUGCAUCCUCAAAGAUAUUUGGUGGUGACAGAUCAAGACUCCGUAAAGUGGAUGAACUAAGAGAAACAAUAAGAGUCACCGAGGAUGCAAAAAGCUGUGCAAUAAGAGAGUAUGAGAGGAUAAAGAAAAACAACCGGAAUGAGCUUGAUAGGCUAGACAGAGAAAAGCAUGAUGAUUUUCUCAGCAUGCUGAAAGGGUUUGUAAUAAAUCAGGUUGGAUAUUCUGAAAAGAUUGCAAGUGUCUGGGCUACCGUUGCGGAAGAAACUAGUAGAUAUGCAAGAGAAAACAAUUAGCAUCGGACGGGGUCUUCCCGGAGGCACGUGAGAUGGGUGAAUGUGGUGGCGACGAUGAAAAUGGGACUCCUGGCAAGCACCAGUGGAUGCAGUCAGCAUAGCUAACAGGAUUUGCUAGCUGCUGUGGGCUGUGUGUCUCCCAAAACUUCCUGUAGAUGGAAGGAUGCCCAUCUUUCCUGUACUCUGAUAGCUGAGUAAUGUUCAGCACCACGACCUUUGUCUGCAGCCUGCCCAGAAUGCUUCCCACCAUUUGCAUGGUGUGCAUGUCAGACCCACUUCCCCAGUAACCUUCCUCGUCGAUAGGGUUCGUCUCCUGAAAGCAGUUCCCCUCGCUUCCUGGAUUCCACUCCCUGCUCCUGGAAUGAUGACAGUGUUUCAGGUUGGGAAAUUAAGAGGACAACAAGGAGAAAAGAGAUGUGUAGGUGACACGGUGACGAAGAAGACCUUCUGUGCCAAAUGGUUCACGGUGGAUGCAACCCAAUCCGCCCACGCCUCCAUGGCCAACUUCAUGGCAUCCAGUCCAUUGGCCUCUUCACAGAUCCCAUCAUCAUCAGGUUUCCACCUUCACCAGAGAGUUGAGAAGCGACUGAUGAUGACAUGCUUCACCGAUACUUCUUUAAGGAUAAUGAAGGAUGUUCUAUACUCACAAUAACUUAAUCUUUUGGCCACUCCUCCACCAUAGAUAAGAGUUGAAGACAAGAAUGUCUGCUUUCUCCCACUGACCUGCAUGCUUGCCCAGCGCAUCUGGUCUGAUGAUCCUGUCAUUUGAUCUGUGGUUCACUGGGUCAUCAGAAUUUGAUUCCACAAGCAGUGGUGCCCAGUAAAACUCUAUCGUGGCAUCGUAUUCCUAUAAAGAAUGUGUUAAGAUACAUCAAGAAAAAGAUGAGCUUGAUGCAAGUUCUAAGAUGCUUAUGGCUAUACAGAGAGGAUUCUCGAAGCAAAAUGGCAGCUUACUUCUGCCCUAAAGAUUGUUAAAGCUGCAUUUGGUGUCAUAGAUUUCUUCCCAUCUGGAAUGGCAGACUGAACCAUGCACACCAUGGAUAUCCACUGUCCUCUGUUUAGAGAAUCGCCCACAAACAUCAGUCUUUUUCCUCUCAGCUUCUCCAGCAUCUCUGUGGCAUUCCAUCUUUGGAGGAACACAAGAGUGCAGAAAAGAUUUAGUGAUCAGUGUCAGACUUGUUUACAUGCCAAGACCCAAACUUGUCUGUUUCUUCAUCUAUCAU